UACGUAGGUGGCAAGCGUUGUCCGGAAUUAUUGGGCGUAAAGCGCGCGCAGGCGGUCCUUUAAAUCUGAUGUGAAAGCCCACGGCUCAACCGUGGAGGGUCAUUGGAAACUGGGGGACUUGAGUACAGAAGAGAAGAGUGGAAUUCCACGUGUAGCGGUGAAAUGCGUAGAGAUGUGGAGGAACACCAGUGGCGAAGGCGACUCUUUGGUCUGUAACUGACGCUGAGGCGCGAAAGCGUGGGGAGCAAACAGG
rnacentral:rRNA from 1 species